UACGUAGGGUGCAAGCGUUGUCCGGAAUUAUUGGGCGUAAAGAGCUCGUAGGCGGUCAGUCGCGUCUGCUGUGAAAACUCGGGGCUUAACUCCGGGCCUGCAGUGGGUACGGGCUGACUAGAGUGCGGUAGGGGAGACUGGAAUUCCUGGUGUAGCGGUGAAAUGCGCAGAUAUCAGGAGGAACACCGAUGGCGAAGGCAGCUCGCUGGGACGGUACUGACGCUGAGACGCGAAAGCGUGGGGAGCAAACAGG
rnacentral:rRNA from 1 species